rnacentral:rRNA from 1 species
CGUAGGCGGCAAGCGUUGUCCGGAAUUAUUGGGCGUAAAGCGCGCGCAGGCGGGAACUUAAGUCUAUCUUAAAAGUUCGGGGCUCAACCCCGUGAUGGGGUAGAAACUGGGUUUCUUGAGUAUCGGAGAGGAAAGUGGAAUUCCCAGUGUAGCGGUGAAAUGCGUAGAUAUUGGGAGGAACACCAGUGGCGAAGGCGACUUUCUGGACGAUGUCUGACGCUGAGGCGCGAAAGCCAGGGAAGUGAACGGGAUUAGAUACCCCGGUAAUCCUGGCCGUAAACGAUGGGUACUAGGUGUAGAGGGUAUCGACCCCUUCUGUGCCGGAGUUAACGCAAUAAGUACCCCGCCUGGGGAGUACGGCCGCAAGGUUG